rnacentral:rRNA from 1 species
GACGAACGCUGGCGGCGUGCUUAACACAUGCAAGUCGAACGGAAAGGCCCUGCUUUUGUGGGGUGCUCGAGUGGCGAACGGGUGAGUAACACGUGAGUAACCUGCCCUUGACUUUGUGAUAACUUCAGGAAACUGGGGCUAAUACCGGAUAGGAGCUCCUGCUGCAUGGUGGGGGUUGGAAAGUUUCGGCGGUUGGGGAUCGACUCGCGGCUUAUCAGCUUGUUUGUGGGGUAGUGGCUUACCAAGGCUUUGACGGGUAGCCGGCCUGAGAGGGUGACCGGGGACCUUGGGACUGCGAUACGGCGCAGACGCGUACGGGAGGCAGCAGUGGGGAAUAUUGCACAAUGGGCGGAAGCCUGAUGCAGCAACGCCGCGUGCGGGAUGACGGCCUUCGGGUUGUAAACCGCUUUCGACUGUGACGAAGCGUGAGUGACGGUAAUGGGUAAAGAAGCACCGGCUAACUACGUG